rnacentral:rRNA from 1 species
CCUACGGGCGGCAGCAGUGGGGAAUAUUGCACAAUGGGGGAAACCCUGAUGCAGCGACGCCGCGUGGGUGAAGGAGUACUUCGGUAUGUAACGCCCUAUCAGCAGGGAAGAACAAUGACGGUACCUGACUAAGAAGCACCGGCUAAAUACGUGCCAGCAGCCGCGGUAAUACGUAUGGUGCAAGCGUUAUCCGGAUUUACUGGGUGUAAAGGGAGCGCAGGCGGCGCGUUAAGCCUGGUGUGAAAGCCCGCGGCCCAACCGCGGGACUGCAUUGGGAACUGGCGCGCUGGAGUGCCGAAGGGGUAGGCGGAAUUCCUAGUGUAGCGGUGAAAUGCGUAGAUAUUAGGAGGAACACCAGUGGCGAAGGCGGCCUACUGGACGGUGACUGACGCUGAGGCUCGAAAGCGUGGGGAGCAAACAGGAUUAGAUACCCCUGUAGUC